rnacentral:rRNA from 1 species
AUUGAACGCUGGCGGCAUGCUUUACACAUGCAAGUCGAACGGUAACAGGCCUUCGGGUACUGACGAGUGGCGCACGGGUGCGUAAUGCAUCGGAACGUACCCAGAGGUGGGGGAUAACGCAGCGAAAGCUGUGCUAAUACCGCAUGUGAUCUGAGGAUGAAAGCGGGGGACCGAGCAGCAAUGUUUGGCCUCGCGCCUUUGGAGCGGCCGAUGUCGGAUUAGCUAGUUGGUGGGGUAAAGGCCUACCAAGGCGACGAUCCGUAGCUGGUCUGAGAGGACGACCAGCCACACUGGGACUGAGACACGGCCCAGACUCCUACGGGAGGCAGCAGUGGGGAAUUUUGGACAAAGGGCGCAAGCCUGAUCCAGCAAUGCCGCGUGCGGGAAGAAGGCCUUCGGGUUGUAAACCGCUUUUGGCAGGAACGAAACGGUGUCCGCUAAUACCGGGCGCUAAUGACGGUACCUGCAGAAUAAGCACCGGCUAACUACGUG